AGUUUGAUCCUGGCUCAGGAUGAACGCUAGCGGCAGGCCUAAUACAUGCAAGUCGAACGGUGGUAGCGAUACCAUAGUGGCGCACGGGUGCGUAACGCGUAGCCAACCUACCCGAAUCUGGGGGAUAGCCCGCCGAAAGGCGGAUUAAUACCGCAUAAGACUAUGGAAUGGCAUCAUUUCGUAGUUAAAGAUUUAUUGGAUUCGGAUGGGGCUGCGUGCCAUUAGCUAGUUGGAGGGGUAACGGCCCACCAAGGCGACGAUGGCUAGGGGAGCUGAGAGGCUGGUCCCCCACACGGGCACUGAGAUACGGGCCCGACUCCUACGGGAGGCAGCAGUAGGGAAUAUUGGGCAAUGGGCGAGAGCCUGACCCAGCCAUGCCGCGUGCCGGAUGAAGGCCUUCUGGGUCGUAAACGGCUUUUUUUCCGGGAAGAACCGGUUCCUUGCGAGGGGCUCUGACGGUACCGGGAGAAUAAGCACCGGCUAACUCCGUGCCAGCAGCCGCGGUAAUACGGAGGGUGCGAGCGUUGUCCGGAUUUAUUGGGUUUAAAGGGUGCGUAGGCGGCCGCGUAAGUCUGGGGUGAAAGCCCGUUGCUCAACAACGGAACUGCCCUGGAAACUGCGUGGCUUGAGUCCAGACGAGGUUGGCGGAAUGGGCGGUGUAGCGGUGAAAUGCAUAGAUACCGUCCAGAACACCGAUUGCGAAGGCAGCUGACUAGGCUGGUACUGACGCUGAGGCACGAAAGCGUGGGGAGCGAACAGGAUUAGAUACCCUGGUAGUCCACGCCGUAAACGAUGGAUACUCGCUGCCAGCGAUAGAUAGUUGGUGGCUUAGCGAAAGCGUUAAGUAUCCCACCUGGGGAGUACGCCCGCAAGGGUGAAACUCAAAGGAAUUGACGGGGGCCCGCACAAGUGGUGGAGCAUGUGGUUUAAUUCGAUGAUACGCGAGGAACCUUACCUAGGCUAGAAUGCGCGUGACCGGUUCGGAGACGAGCCUUUCCUUCGGGACACAAAGCAAGGUGCUGCAUGGCUGUCGUCAGCUCGUG
rnacentral:rRNA from 1 species